rnacentral:tRNA from 1 species
AUUUAUUUGGCAGAAAAAUGCAAUAGAUUUAGAAUCUAUAAAUUCUAAAAAUUAGAUG